GACGAACGCUGGCGGCGUGCUUAACACAUGCAAGUCGAACGGAAAGGCCCUGCUUGCAGGGUACUCGAGUGGCGAACGGGUGAGUAACACGUGGGUGAUCUGCCCUGCACUUCGGGAUAAGCUUGGGAAACUGGGUCUAAUACCGGAUAGGAACCAUCUUUAGUGUGGUGGUUGGAAAGUUUUUUCGGUGUAGGAUGAGCUCGCGGCCUAUCAGCUUGUUGGUGGGGUAAUGGCCUACCAAGGCGGCGACGGGUAGCCGGCCUGAGAGGGUGUACGGCCACAUUGGGACUGAGAUACGGCCCAGACUCCUACGGGAGGCAGCAGUGGGGAAUAUUGUACAAUGGGCGCAAGCCUGAUGCAGCGACGCCGCGUGGGGGAUGAAGGCCUUCGGGUUGUAAACUCCUUUCGCUAGGGACGAAGCUUUUUGUGACGGUACCUAGAGAAGAAGCACCGGCUAACUACGUG
rnacentral:rRNA from 1 species